GAUGAACGCUAGCGAUAGGCUUAACACAUGCAAGUCGAGGGGCAGCACAAGGUAGCUUGCUCUCUGGGUGGCGACCGGCGCACGGGUGCGUAACGCGUAUGCAACUUGCCCUAUACAGGAGGAUAACCCGUCGAAAGACGGACUAAUACUGCGUAUGCUCACAACUUGGCAUCAAGUGGUGAGGAAAGAAAUUCGGUAUAGGAUAGGCAUGCGUCCCAUUAGCUUGUUGGUGAGGUAACGGCUCACCAAGGCAACGAUGGGUAGGGGAACUGAGAGGUUUAUCCCCCACACUGGUACUGAGACACGGACCAGACUCCUACGGGAGGCAGCAGUGAGGAAUAUUGGUCAAUGGGCGCGAGCCUGAACCAGCCAAGUCGCGUGAAGGAUGACUGUCUUAUGGAUUGUAAACUUCUUUUAUACGGGAAUAACAAGAGUCACGGGUGACUCCCUGCAUGUACCGGAUGAAUAAGCAUCGGCUAACUCCGUG
rnacentral:rRNA from 1 species